rnacentral:misc_RNA from 1 species
AAGAACUCGACGAGACACUCCAAAUUGCGUAUUCGAGAAGAUUAGCUCAGAGAUAAACCCUAAAUUGCAAUGGAGAGUGCGUUCGCUAGUGCCUCUGCCAUCAGCGACCAACGCCAGAAAAUCGAACAGUACAAGCACAUUCUCUCCACCGUUCUCGCAUCAAGCGAUAUCCAACAAGCCAAGCAGUUCAUCGAUCACAUGCUAUCGGAUGACGUACCCUUGGUGGUAUCUAGACAGCUAUUGCAGACAUUUGCCCAGGAAUUCGAUAGAUUGGAACCUGAUGUUCAAAAGGAAGUAGCACACUAUACUCUCAACCAGAUACAGCCUCGUGUGGUGUCCUUUGAAGAACAAGUGUUGAUCAUUCGGGAAAAACUUGCAGAAUUAUAUGAGUCUGAGCAACAAUGGUCAAAA